ensembl:miRNA Mir295-1 microRNA 295-1
CAUUUUGGUGAGACUCAAAUGUGGGGCACACUUCUGGAUUAUGCGUAGAAAGUGCUACUACUUUUGGGUGUCUCCUGUGGG